CCUUGCGUAGGUGGUAGAAGAGGUUUGUCAUGUUUGAGUCUGGGGUGGGGACCGGUUUCCUGCAUAAUUUGCAUAGUACAGUUUUCUGGUCCGUGUCAGACUUUUCAUAACCAUGUCCAUGCUAGACCCUCGUUUAGAAAUAAGGUCCUCGUAUUGUUUUGACUGGUCCUUCUGUUUGUCAUCAUUUCAGUUUAUUUUGAAAAAUCUCAACAGGAUCUUAAGCUUUAUUGUGAAAGGUUUAUGUGGAAAAUAAACAAGAGGAUGGCGGAGCCACACACUGGGUUCACCGUCAUUGUUGCUAACGCCAACGCGUAAAAACAGUGGCUUGAAAAUGAUGAAAAAAAUUGAUCAUAAACAGUUUAUUUUACAAAACAAGCGAUAGCGUGAUAUGAAACCAUAGAUGUUUUCAUAUCAUUAUAUCGAACAGCCCUACACUUAACUCAGAGUACACUCAGUUGAACUUCGUCUGAUCAGCUGUUUGGGACUUGAAAACUCAGAUUUGCCGUUGAGUUUGUUGAACAUGUUUCCUGAAAACGGGCAUUUAUCACCUCAUAAUUAGAACUGUCUCAGGGAAAGCCUGAUCUUAUAUUUCAUGACAGUUAAAGUUAUCUGUACUCCUAUUCUGUUGGUUCAUUGUUUUGUUUUGUUGUUUAUUAGUGUUUGUUGUGUUCACAAUGUUCAAAUAAAGAUUUAAACGUAUUGUAUUUUUUCUGAGGCGUAAUCUCUUAUACAUGAAAAGCAGCACAGCAGAGCGUUCUGUUGAAUUUCACACAUGUGCACACAUACCAUCAGAAUACCUGCAGCAACAUGCUCACAAUGAGUCACCAUUAAAAAGGGGCAAAUAAUAAAACAGUACAGAAAGCCAACAAGUCACUGGGAGUCUCCUGUUAGUGAGCAAACUGCAGUACAAACAAACAAAAACACCAAACUCAGCAUAAAAACAAAUUCUAUCAACAUAAAAUGUGACCCUCCAUUAUGACCCAACCACCAUCUGCAAGGAAAGCAUGAAGAGAAUUACUGCUACAACUGUAUACCAAUCCUGGCAUAGCUCAGCUGUUUCUCCCUUCCAUAAGAAUGGAUUCACUUCAGGUCAUUGAUCGGUCAUAGCUAUACAACAGUUACAAGAAAUAGGAAAUGGAUUUUGGAUCUGAGUUAAAGUGUCUCUUCAGUUUCAUCUCAGUGCGUUUCAGUCUGUGCUUGUAACUGAACGAUUAUCUGCUGCAGUCUGAACGACCUGUCAUUUUAAAGUCGGUCAAAGUUUGUUCCAUCUCAAAAACAUUUCCCAUGAGCCUCAGGAAGUAGCUCACUGUGUGGUUACUGAGUGACAAAGUUAACAGCUUUCAUCUCUUUGAAUACAACAGUUACAGCUACUUUUAAGGAAACAGACAAGAGAAGGGAGGGAGGAGGACUUCAUCUCACUUCCUGAAUUUGAGUGAACAUUUGACCAGAACUGAACUUCAUGUUCAAAGACUCUGCAGUGAUGACUUUACAUUAGUGAAGUUUGUCAGUUAAAAUGAUAAACAAAGUAUUUUUAGUGAAAGAUUUCACUGUUGUGGGAAAAAGUGCUUUCGCCUGCUGUGACCAUUUGCUCUGACAGUUUGAACCCAUCAGAAUGACGUGUUUGUGUGCUGGAGCAUCUGUGAGAGUAACUAUUAUUGGUGUCAAAGCUCCCAGCAAACACAACAAGCAGACGAGGAGCAGACAAAGGAAACAAAAUGUCCAUCGCUGUUUCUGUAAGAAGUCAGUCGAGCUCCAAGACUUUAAUUUUAAACUUCCUAUGCAGUUAUUCCAGGAUUUCAAAUGUUUUGAUGGUCUUGAUGUUUAAUACAUCAAAACUCUUAACUAUACUUAACAAAGAAAAACAGUCGAUAGAGGCCACUUUCACCAUCCAGGUUCUCGGCGUCUCGUGUGCUUCUUCUUCUUUCUCUUCACACAAAGUCGUAGAAGUUUUCAGACGUGUCACAGCUGGAUGUGAGGAUGGGACCCACUUUCCUCUGUGAGCUGGGCCUAUUCUGUCAGUGCAUCACUUCUUCCUUUGAUUCAUUGACUGAUGAACAUGUUUUAGUAAAAUGACAGAGUUUCAGUCAUUUGCAGCAUUUCAGUUCAUGUUUUGUUCUCAACAUGGUUGUUUGCAGACUGGAUUAGAUUUCAGUGCACUGACGCUGGUUUAGUUUAUCUCAGAAAGGUUUGUUUCUUCAUCAGUGAUAAUUUGAUGCAUUUUACAUUAAAUAUAUAAUUUAAACCAAUCACAGCAGCCUCUGGUAACACCAGGUGUGUUUGACUGAUGCCAUGUUUGAGUGAGUCUUCAGUUUGAUGAUGUGUGAAGUUUCUUCCUUU